AAAACGCUGCGAUUCCCGGGCCGUGGAGCGGGUCCACAUCGCCCGUAACCCGUUAACAGUCCGAUCCACCUAACUCGCUGCCUCGACCGUCCGAUGCGGCUCGGGCCGGGUCUGUCGCCCGUUAUUCCACGCAUCCGAGCACUCGGGAACCUUCGCGGAGCCGCACCGAGGCCGGCCUAUCCCCUCCACGGCCGCCGCCUGCGCCUCCCCACACCUGCCCCGCGGCUCGCCGCUCUCCCCCACCGGCUAGCCGAGGCCCCCCUGUGGCUGGCUCCUUGCGGCGACGGCCGAGGAACACGCGGCCGGCUCCUCCAGCAAAAAAGCAGCGAGCGCGAGGGGAGGCCCCCCCGCAGCUGACUCCUCGCGUCGGCGGCCGACGGCCACGCCACCGGCGGCUCCUCCAGCAGAGCGGCAGCAAGCCAGCAAGGUUGGGGGAGGGGACGCAGUCUCCCCUGCCUUUUUCUCUUGCCCAGAUCUUCGCAAGGAACUCCGAAGGAACACCGUCGCAAGCUCUUCGCUGGGAGCCUGGUACCCAACCACCGCAAAUUGUCCAGGAAGCCAAAAGAACAACCUAUCCCAAAUUAAAAAGAAAUAAUAGUUAACAGUAUAUUUAGGUUCCUGGAAUUGUCUUUGCAAGAGGACCUGCAUUGCUGUGUUGAUUCUACUGAGCAGGUUAGAGUUAUUGGAAAUUUUGUUUGGAACCUCCAACUGGAAUGCUAGAUGAUGAAAAAGGUGAUUUUGUUGGCACCGCAGUCUGUGAGCUUCUAUUCCAGAAAAGAAUUGUCCGAGUAGGCCGGGUAACUCAGUUUUGCCGGAGAUUAGGCAGCAUUGAGUAGGUAAUCUUUAUUUGGAAUCUUACAUGAGCAUAAUUUAGUCCUCUUGAGAGGCUAGCCCUGCAAGAUCGGUGCUGGACUGGGGAGCGUCGGCGACGCCACAACCUUCAGCAGUCAGCGGAGUGCGCCCUCUGCGCGCAGGAGGACGAGUCCAUCGACCACCUCCUGCUUGGUUGCGUCUUUAGCAGGGAGGUUUGGUUCAGGACUCUAAACCCACUGGGUUUGGCUGCUCUAGCUCCCUUGCCGGUAGAUUCACUUGCAGAUUGGUAGCUUGCAGCUCGGAAGCAGGUCCCAAAGGUGCAUCGGAAAGGGUUUGACUCCCUUGUCACCCUCGUCUGCUGGUCGCUUUGGAAGGAGCGUAAUAGUCGUGUCUUUGAGGGUAGAUCGGAGCAGCCGUCUGUGGUUUGCUCCAAGGUAGCGAGCGAGAUCUCAGUGUGGGUCUUAGCUGGUUUUGUGUCCCUUAGGUCACUCAGCGUUGUUGUGUAAUUAAACUUUAAAGAUAGGGGGCGGCGCUCGGUGCCGUGUAAUACUCUUAAGUGCCAGGAUCACUUAGGUGAUCUUAGUACUUGGUCGCUCUUUUUCCGCUUAAUGAAAUAACGUGCUUCAGCACGUUCGCGAAAAAAAA